AGUGAACGCUGGCGGUAGGCCUAACACAUGCAAGUCGAACGGCAGCACAGUAAGAGCUUGCUCUUACGGGUGGCGAGUGGCGGACGGGUGAGGAAUACAGCGGACUCUACUUUUUCGUGGGGGAUAACGUAGGGAAACUUACGCUAAUACCGCAUACGACCUACGGGUGAAAGCAGGGGAUCUUCGGACCUUGCGCGAUUGAAUGAGCCGAUGUCGGAUUCGCUAGUUGGCGGGGCAAAGGCCCACCAAGGCGACGAUCCGUAGCUGGUCUGAGAGGAUGAUCAUCCACACUGGAACUGGGACACGGUCCAGACUCCUACGGGAGUCAGCAGUUGGGAAUAUUCGACAAUGGGCGCAAGCCUGAUCCAGCCAUACCGCGUGGGUGAAGAAGGCCUUCGGGUUGUAAAGCCCUUUUGUUGUGAAAGAAAAGCAGCAGGUUAAUCCCCCGCUGUUCCGACGGUACCCAAAGAAUAAGCACCGGCUAACUUCGUG
rnacentral:rRNA from 1 species